UCCGGUUUAACACCGGCAGUCUCCCUAGAGUGCCCAACUGAAUGGUGGCAACUAGGGACAAGGGUUGCGCUCGUUAAGGGACUUAACCCGACAUCUCACGAUACGAGCUGACGACAGCCAUGCAGCACCUAAACCGCCGGCCCCCGAAGGGGAAACUCUAUCUCUAGAGCUGUCCGACGUUGUCUAGCCCAGGUAAGGUUCUUCGCGUUGCAUCGAAUUGAGCCACAUACUCCACCGCUUGUGCAGGCCCCCGUCAAUUUCUUUGAGUUUUAAUCUUGCGACCGUACUUCCCAGGCGGCAUAUUUAUCGUGUUAACUACGCCACAAAAGGGGUCGAUUCCUUUUACAGCAAAUAUGCACCGUUUACAGCUAGGACUAC
rnacentral:misc_RNA from 1 species